GCGACCCCGUCCCUCCGCGCCGCGCGUUAAAGGGGCAGCCCCGCGCGGGGCAGCGGCGCUGGGGGUGCGCGGUCGUGGGGGCCGUUGUGGCGGUGAUUUGUUGGCCCCCAGGUGCCGCUGCGGGAAGGGGGCAGCGCGCCCCGCCCGGGGGUUCCCCCCCACACCAGCAGCCUGCUCUGCCUCCCCUUGUCCUGCCAUGGAGAACUAUGAGGUGCUGGAGCAGCUCCAGCCUGGGGCACUGGGCACGAUGCUGGUAGCUGAAUGGAAAACAGAAAAAGGUGUGGAGAAGAAAUAUGUAAUAAAGCAGGUGCAGUGCAUUAAAGAAAAGCAAGCAAAUGAUGCCUUGAAGGAGGCAAUGGAUUUGCUAAAACUUCAUCACUCGAACAUCUGUACUUACAAGGAAUCAUUUGUGACUUGGGAUAAUAAGGUGUCAUGUCUGUUCCUUUGUCUGGUAAUGCAGCACUCGGGCCAAGGAGAUCUUUCAUCUGUCAUCAAGGAAAAAAGGCAGAAGUCAGAAAAAAUAACAGACAUGGUGAUUCUGAAGUUCCUGGGACAGAUGGUGGAUGCUUUGUUUUAUAUACACAAACAAAAUAUUUUCCACAGAAAUCUCAAGCCAUCAAACAUACUUGUGACUGGCGAAGCAUCCUUCAUGCUUAGCGACUUCAGUACAGAAACACUUAUGACAGAUGAGAUGAAAUGGAAAAUAAGAGUGGAAGAAAAUAGCAAGUCUUGGAUGGCUCCAGAAACAUUUGAUUCUAUUUUUACUGAGAAAUCUGACGUCUGGUCUCUAGGUUGUAUUCUACUUGACAUGAUGACCUGCUUCGUUCUGAAUGGAGAAGAGAUAACUUCUCUACUGCAGGAUAUUAGACAGGAUACCAGCUGUCUUGAGGGAGUUCAGACACUAAUGCAGAAUGGAGAUAACAGCUCUUUGACUUUAUUUCCAGUUUUAUUUAUGAUGCUACAGAUUCAGCCCAGCAUGAGGCCCACAGCAGAAGAUCUGACUGAUGUUCCAUUUAUUAGGGACUACCUGAUUGUUGCUGGUGCGCCUUCAGUAAAACUGAAAACGUCUUUGCCUCCCAAAAUAAUAGAUGUGCUCCUUGAGGGAGGAAUUGAAAAUGUCCUAGAAAUCAUGCAGGCUUUCUGGCAUAUAGAAUUAGUACAGGUGAAAGCCAUUCAGCACCUCGCCAGCUUCGUAAGAGAGAAAAGUGCCUUUCCCUAUCUGCUAAUGGUCACAGAAUUGAUCACUUCUGCCAUGAAGACUCAUGUAGAUUCUCUGAAGUUACAAGUAGAUGGUUGCAGUUUAUUGCUUGAAAUUCUUAAUCCAGCUCUAGAGCAGGAUGUGGUGAUGGCCCUGGAUAAGAAUAUGAUCAGCUCUCUGUUAGACACAGCGAGAAAACACUUUGAAACUGAAGAGUUAAUUUCAUUGAUCUACACAUUAGUGAUGAUGCUUUCAGCCAGCGAAGUCGUUGCAGAGAAUCUGUGGGAACUUGGAAUAAUUCCAGACCUUCUGUCAAUUUUAAGAAAUUUUCUUCAUAAUGAAAGUAUCUGCCUCCCUUGCUGUGGGGUUCUCUGGAGCUUGGCUGUGAGUGAGACUAAUGUAGACCAAGCAUUGCUGGCAAGUGCUGUCCCUGUUGUCUUUGAGGUCCUUCAAGAGCACCUCCAGAAUGGAGCCGUUGCAGAGUCUGCUUGCUCAGCUCUAUGGGCAUUGUCACUCCAAGGUUGCUUAACUGAAAAUGAAUAUGAGCCCACAACAGCACUUCUGCUGGAUGCGCUCAGGAUGAACCCAGGAAGACCAGUGCUGGUGAAGAAUGCCUGCCUGGCACUAGCAAGCCUUCUAAGGCUAUCUGGGCUGGAAGAGGAAAUAGUGAAACUGGAGGUGUGAAUUUUUUUCUUCCCAUGGACCCAGCAUGCGUGUAUGAGAAGUAUUGGAUCAGCACAAGCUGAUCUGUUAGUAACUUCAGAGUGUUUUGUUGCUUAUGAUGGAAUUGCUUCAACUGCGUAAAAGGCUAGAGCUGAAUGAAUAUGAAAACAGUAAAUGUUAAAAUACCACUUUGCCAUUGCAUGAUGGUGUCAGCUGCCUAAGUGGUCUGCUACUUGUUGCCCAGAUACGCUUCAGAAUAGCUUUUAGGAAGACUGAAAAUAAAGGGCAUGACUUUCUGGAAAAAUAUCACAUGUGCUAGCUGGAGCAGGAGACUGGAAAGCAGGUAAUGCAGCCUGCAGCUACCGAGUAGCCCAGCAGUGUUUGUCUCCCUUUCAGAAACAGCAGCUUUGAGACUUACAAUGGAUUCAAAAGGCAGUGGAAUAAACCUGAUCAAAGAUGCCUACUGCCUUCACUUCGAUGAUCCAGAAGUGGUGGAAAAUAUCUGUAUGCUGAUUAACGAGAUGGUUCAGUAUGAUGAUGUUGUGCUGGAUAUGCUGUCCCAGAAAAUGGAGGAACUGCUGUUUGAAAUAAAAUGCCGGUUUCCAUCUAGCAUGGGCUUGUGUCCCUCCUCACUGGCAGAGCAUGAGACUGAAAAGCCCCUGAUCAGGGAGAUAAUGACCCUUGUGGAUGCAACGCUUUUGAAACUGCAGAAGUAAAAGAAACUUCUGCCUAAGAACAAGACUUGUACUUCUUGAGCAGAGAGAAAAGCUCCACAAAGAUUUUUAAAGAUUUUUCUCAGGAGCAGGAUUAAUACUGGGCUAUUAGUCAUACAUAAACAGUGUUACAUCUUGUUGAUUUAGGUACCACAGCUGUGAGACUAACAGCAAUAAUUAAGAAUUCACCCUACUUUGUAGACUGUGAGGUAUUUUAAAUAAAGAUGUUAGUCUUGGGAAUUUCA